AAUAUUGGACAAUGGUGGCAACCCUGAUCCAGCCAUGCCGCGUGUUUGAAGAAGGUCUUCGGUUUGUAAAGCACUUUACGUAGGGAGGAAGGGCCAUAGGCUCAUACGCUGACGUUUUGACGAUACCAACAGAAUAAGCACCGGCUAACUCGGUGCCAGCAGCCGCGGUAAUACAGUGCGUGCAAGCGUCAAUCGGAAUUACUGGGCGUAAAGCGCGCGUAGGUGGUUCAGUAAGAUGGGUGUGAAAUCCCCGGGCUUAACCUGGGAACUGCUUUCAUAACUGCUGAGCUAGAGUACGGUAGAGGGGAGUGGAAUUUCCUGUGUAGCGGUGAAAUGCGUAGAUAUAGGAAGGAACACCAGUGGCGAAGGCGACUACCUGGACUGAUACUGACACUGAGGUGCGAAAGCGUGGGGAGCAAAC
rnacentral:rRNA from 1 species